rnacentral:rRNA from 1 species
CCUACGGGAGGCAGCAGUAGGGAAUCUUCGGCAAUGGACGAAAGUCUGACCGAGCAACGCCGCGUGAGUGAAGAAGGUUUUCGGAUCGUAAAACUCUGUUGGUAGAGAAGAACGUUGGUGAGAGUGGAAAGCUCAUCAAGGGACGUGAACUACCCAGAAAGGGUCGGCUAACUACGUCCGAGCAGCCGCGGUAAUACGUAGGUCCCGAGCGUUGUCCGGAUUUAUUUGGAGUAAGGCGAGCGCAGGUGGAUUAUUAAGUCUGGUGUAAAAGGCAGUGGCCCAACCACUGCAUGCAUUGGAAACUGGUAGACGUGAGUGGAGGAGAGGAGAGUGGAAUUCGAUGUGUAGCGGUGAAAUGCAUAGAUAUAUGGAGGAACACCGGUGGCGAAAGCGGCUCUCUGGCCUGUAACUGACACUGAGGCUCGAAAGCGUGGGGAGCAAACAGGAUUAGAUACCCGAGUAGUC